UACGUAAGGUCCGAGCGUUGUCCGGAAUCAUUGGGCGUAAAGGGCACGCAGGCGGAUUUUUAAGUGAGGUGUGAAAUCCCCGGGCUUAACCUGGGAAUUGCAUUUCAGACUGGGAAUCUAGAGUACUUUAGGGAGGGGUAGAAUUCCACGUGUAGCGGUGAAAUGCGUAGAGAUGUGGAGGAAUACCGGUGGCGAAGGCGACUUUCUGGCCAUUAUCUGACGCUGAGGUACGAAAGCGUGGGUAGCAAACAGG
rnacentral:rRNA from 1 species